UACGUAGGGUGCGAGCGUUGUCCGGAAUUACUGGGCGUAAAGAGCUCGUAGGUGGUUUGUCGCGUUGUCCGUGAAAACUCACAGCUUAACUGUGGGCGUGCGGGCGAUACGGGCAGACUGGAGUACUGCAGGGGAGACUGGAAUUCCUGGUGUAGCGGUGAAAUGCGCAGAUAUCAGGAGGAACACCGAUGGCGAAGGCAGGUCUCUGGGCAUUAACUGACGCUGAGGAGCGAAAGCAUGGGGAGCGAACAGG
rnacentral:rRNA from 1 species